AAGUCGUAACAAGGUUUCCGUAGGUGAACCUGCGGAAGGAUCAUUACUGAGUUCAUGCCCUAACGGGUAGAUCUCCCACCCUUGAAUAUAUAAACCUUUGUUGCUUUGGCGGGCCGCUUCGGCUACCGGCUUCGGCUGGUGAGUGCCCGCCAGAGAACCUAAAACUCUGAAUUACAGUGUCGUCUGAGUACUAUAAAAUAGUUAAAACUUUCAACAACGGAUCUCUUGGUUCUG
rnacentral:misc_RNA from 1 species